rnacentral:rRNA from 1 species
UACGUAGGGUGCGAGCGUUAAUCGGAAUACUGGGCGUAAAGCGUGCGCAGGCGGCGCGUUAAGACAGGUGUGAAAGCCCCGAGCUUAACUUGGGAAUUGCGCUUGUGACUGGCGUGCUGGAGUGUGGCAGAGGGAGGUGGAAUUCCACGUGUAGCAGUGAAAUGACGUAGAGAUGUGGAGGAACACCGAUGGCGAAGGCAGCCUCCUGGGCCAGCACUGACGCUCAUGCACGAAAGCGUGGGAG